GACAGAGGGUGCAAACGUUGUUCGGAAUUACUGGGCGUAAAGCGUGCGCAGGCGGUUUGCUAAGUCCGUUGUGAAAGCCCCGAGCUCAACUUGGGAAUUGCAGUGGAUACUGGCAGGCUGGAGUACGGUAGAGGAAGGUGGAAUUCCCGGUGUAGCAGUGAAAUGCGUAGAUAUCGGGAGGAACACCAGUGGCGAAGGCGGCCUUCUGGACCAGUACUGACGCUCAUGCACGGAAGCGUGGGGAGCAAACAGG
rnacentral:rRNA from 1 species